UACAGGAGGGGGCAAGCGUUGUUCGGAAUUACUGGGCGUAAAGGGCGCGUAGGCGGCCUGUUAAGUCGAACGUGAAAUCCCCGGGCUCAACCCGGGAACUGCGUCCGAUACUGGCAGGCUUGAAUCCGGGAGAGGGAUGCGGAAUUCCAGGUGUAGCGGUGAAAUGCGUAGAUAUCUGGAGGAACACCGGUGGCGAAGGCGGCGAUCCUGGACCGGUAUUGACGCUGAGACGCGAAAGCCAGGGGAGCAAACGGG
rnacentral:rRNA from 1 species